CUACGUAGGGGCAGCAGUCGUUCGGUUCGAUUGUGGCGUAAAGAGCUCGUAGGUGGUUCGGUAAGUCGGGUGUUAAACCCCCAGGCUCAACCUGGGACGCCACUCGAUACUGCUGUGACUAGAGUCCGGUAGGGGAGCGUGGAAUUCCUGGUGUAGCGGUGAAAUGCGCAGAUAUCAGGAGGAACACCGAUGGCGAAGGCAGAUCUCUGGGCCGUAACUGACGCUGAGGAGCGAAAGCAUGGGGAGCGAACAGG
rnacentral:rRNA from 1 species